rnacentral:rRNA from 1 species
GCAAGUCGAGGGGUAACAGAGGUAGCUUGCUACUUGCUGACGACCGGCGCACGGGUGCGUAACGCGUAUACAAUCUGCCUUGUACUGAGGGAUAGCCUUUGGAAACGAAGAUUAAGACCUCAUGGUAUUACCGUAUUGCAUGAUAUGGUAAUUAAAGGUUACGGUACAAGAUGAGUAUGCGUCCUAUUAGCUAGAUGGUGUGGUAACGGCACACCAUGGCUACGAUAGGUAGGGGCCCUGAGAGGGGGAUC